UCUAGGCAAAGAGUCCGGAUCGUCAAGCGGACAAGCCGGAGGGAAUACGCGUGGGAAAGGUGUGCUCUAAAGGUAAAGAUGCUCUUUAGACCCCGGAGGAUGAUCAAGCCAUGUCAAGAACCGAACACACCGAACAAAGCUUCCGCAUUUUGUCUAUUUUGUUUUAGUGACAUGUAAACACUUGAAAUUAUGUUUUGAAAGUUUAUCUAGCAUGAUGUAGACUUGAAUGUUAUGAUCAAGUAUGAUCUUAAAACCAUGAAGUUUUUGUAAACUCGAAAAAUUUUGUACUAAAUGCAUGAUAAAUGUCAUAAAUCCUGUUAUUUUAA